rnacentral:rRNA from 1 species
GAUGAACGCUAGCUACAGGCUUAACACAUGCAAGUCGUGGGGCAUCAUGAUGUAGUAAUACAUUGAUGGCGACCGGCGCACGGGUGAGUAACGCGUAUCCAACCUACCCUCCACUCAAGUAUAGGCUUCCGAAAGGGAGAUUAAUCCUUGAUAUCGUCAUUCUCUCUCCUGUUAGAAUGAUAAAAGGACAUCGUUUCGGUAGAGGAUGGGGAUGCGUUCCAUUAGGUAGUAGGUGGUUUAACAGGCCACCUAGCCGAUGAUGGAUAGGGGUUCUGAGAGGAAUAUCCCCCACACUGGUACUGAGAUACGGACCAGACUCCUACGGGAGGCAGCAGUGAGGAAUAUUGGUCAAUGGGCGCAAGCCUGAACCAGCCAUGUAGCGUGAAGGAUGACGGUUUUUUUGAUUGUAAACUUCUUUUCUGUGCGAUUAAAGUGUGGCAUUUAUGCCAUAGGGCAGUAUCUCAGGAAUAAGCAUCGGCA